GUAGCUGGGAUUACAGGCAUGCGCCACCACGCCAGGCUAAUUUUGUAUUUUUAGUAGAGACAGGGUUUCGCCACGUUGGCCAGGCUGGUUUCAAACCCCUGACCUCAGAUGAUCCGCCCGCCUUGGCCUCCCAAAGUGCUGAGAUUACAGGCGCAAGCCACUGCGCCUGGCUGCUUCCUGCACAUUUUAAAUAAACUGUAGUACCCGGAUAGAUGAACCUAGUAUUGACAUCCACAGCCGUGUUGAGUUUGGAAAAACAAGGGUGGAGUGUCAGAAGCUAGAAUGGGGAAGGUGCUUUUCUCAGGCUGCGAAUACAGGAAACUCAAGAAGAAAGCUAUUGUGGAGCUCUCAAUAAUUUCAGGUUGCCUUCUCUAUCCUUCUUUACACAUCUGAUCUCAUACCUGAUGUUUUUUGCUUUUAGCCUUGAUACCUCUAUAUGUAUUUCUAUCCAUAGAAAUAGACAGUUCAAUUUCCUUAAUGAGAAAUUAGCAUAGGAACAAAUUUCUUUCCAUCAAGAUUAAAUGGUAGACAACUGCUUUUACAAGGGACCAUGUAUUUUUCCAGUCAUUGUUUCUCUGUCUGACGAGGUCUAUAAAUCUACACUCAGUACAGAGCAUAAACGUGGUGAUUAGGCAACAGCACACCUUCUGUCUCCAUUCCUGGGUAUUGCCUACAUGGAAUUGUGUAUGAAAUUAUGUCUCUACCUGUUUCCGGUAAUCCUCUACCAAGUGGGAAAAAAUUUUGGGGUUAAUUGUGUUUUCUAGUGGUACUCUAAACCGGAUUCAGGACGGCAGCGGCCAUCUAAAUGUCUUCCUUUGUUUAUUUCUAAAUCCAUAAAUUAAUUCCAGAUUUACCAAGAAACUAAAUUGAGUUGAUCCCAAAAUGAAACAGGGCUCUCAGGGACAUACUCACUUCUUCCCAGCCUGCCUUUGGACUCAGUAAGUAAGCAGAGACUGUGUUUAUUUGUCUGAUAUACAUGACCCCUGGUUAAUAUGUAGGUCGUAGAAGAAACCAAAAUUUUACUUAUGGAAGGCAGGGAGAAUAGAGAUGAAUUACCUUUUGUGAGAAAAAGAACAAGUGACAUAUUAACUGCUAUUGUAUUUUCUGUUGUCAGGACGUGGGCUGAGUAAAAAGCUUAAAAGCUUUUGCAUAUGUCUUGGUUCUGCCAUCUAUUGGUUAUAAGGCCUGGAACAAGUGAUUUAACAUGCCCAUGGCUCACUUUCCCUAUGCAUAAGUACGGAAAUGCUGACUUAGUGGCAACUAAACAGUGGAAGACACCAGCAAUAGAAUGUAAUUAUAAUAUCGCUCCAUGAGAUGGUAAGAUUUUACAGUUCCAACUAAUUAUUCCUGAGUCCGUUCCUUUUGCAGAACAAGUUUCUAAUAAAGUACUCAGGAUUAAGAUAGAUGGUUAUGAGCAAGUGCUACCAUUUAGGAUAUUCAUUUGAAAUACUAAUGCUCCUGGCAUUU
rnacentral:lncRNA from 1 species